UACGGGGGGGGCAAGCGUUGUUCGGAAUUACUGGGCGUAAAGGGCUCGUAGGCGGCCAACUAAGUCGGAUGUGAAAUCCCCAGGCUUAACCUGGGAACUGCAUCCGAUACUGGAUGGCUUGAAUCCGGGAGAGGGAUGCAGAAUUCCAGGUGUAGCGGUGAAAUGCGUAGAUAUCUGGAGGAAUACCGAUGGCGAAGGCAGCUGCCUGGCCCAGAACUGACGCUGAGGUGCGAAAGCGUGGGGAGCGAACGGG
rnacentral:rRNA from 1 species